GUUGAAGAACGUAGCGAAAUGCGAUAAGUAAUGUGAAUUGCAGAAUCCAGUGAAUCAUCGAAUCUUUGAACGCACAUUGCGCCCGCCAGCAUUCUGGCGGGCAUGCCUGUUCGAGCGUCAUUUCAACCCUCGACCUCCCCUUGGGGAGGUCGGCGUUGGGGACCGGCAGCACACCGCCGGCCCUGAAAUGGAGUGGCGGCCCGUCUGCGGCGACCUCUGCGUAGUAAUACAGCUCGCACCGGAACCCCGACGCGGCCACGCCGUAAAACACCCAACUUCUGAACGUUGACCUCGAAUCAGGUAGGACUACCCGCUGAACUUAAGCAUAUCAAUAAGCGGAGGA
rnacentral:misc_RNA from 1 species